rnacentral:tRNA from 1 species
GGGGUGGAGCAGUCUGGUAGCUCGUCGGGCUCAUAACCCGAAGGUCGGCGGUUCAAAUCCGUCCCCCGCAACCA